AAAACUUUCAACAACGGAUCUCUUGGUUCUCGCAUCGAUGAAGAACGCAGCAAAAUGCGAUAAGUAAUGUGAAUUGCAGAAUUGUGAAUCAUCGAAUCUUUGAACGCACAUUGC
rnacentral:rRNA from 1 species